GGGGACGUAGCCCAACAGGAAGAGGCACUGGUCCCAGACACCAGCCAGUGUAGGUUCAACUCCUACCGUCCCUACCA
rnacentral:tRNA from 1 species